rnacentral:rRNA from 1 species
GACGAACGCUGGCGGCGUGCUUAACACAUGCAAGUCGAACGAAGUGGCGAACGGGUGAGUAACGCGUAAUCAACCUUCCCUUCAGAGGGGGCCAACAGUUGGAAACGACUGCUAAUACCGCAUACUGAAGGAGUGGUUUGCGUCUGAUUAGCUAGUUGGAGGGGUAACGGCCCACCAAGGCGAUGAUCAGUAGCCGGUGUGGAAGGAUGAACGGCCAAAUUGGGACUGAGACACGGGCCAGACUCCUACGGGGGGCAGCAGGGGGGAAUCUUCCGCAAUGGAGGAAAGUCUGACGGAGCAACGCCGGGGUAGUGAUGACGGCCUUCGGGUUGUAAAACUCUGUUAAUCGGGACGCGGUACCGGAAUAGAAAGCCACGGCUAACUACGUGCCAGCAGCCGCGGUAAUUC